UACAAUUUGCGAAAAAAACAACACAGCCCGACAUCGGGGGUCACCAGUCAUGAGCAUCUAUUAGAAGUUUACAAGUUUGGAAAGAGUUUGCACAUUAUAUUACAUAACUAGGGCAAAGGAAAUAAAAUAGGAGGGAGAGACACUGGGCUGCAAACGCCGAGCAGCUACCUAGUGGACUCCGAAUAGCUUGCUGAGCAAUCAACCCUCACUGGCGGAACCUGAAGCUCCUAAAUAUGCGCACAGGGUACAAGGAGUAAAGUGAAUACUCCUACUCAGUGAGUAAUAACAAUAAAUGAAGACUGAGCGAUAAAAAAUCACGUGAAAACACAACAACACGCUAUAAAGAAGCAGAGUAAAACCAGUAAAGUGCAAUAAAAUAGUGAAAUCUCAUAAAACACCUUAGUGUAUAAGCUUCUUUAAAAUACCUUUUUAACAGUUAAACAAGUAGAUAACAGGCAACUAGAAGAGAUAAAGACAUAAAAACCGCCCCUCGGGCACAAUACCAACAAAAUCAACCCCUCGGGCAACAACAUGGAACAACACCAGCCCAUCGGGCUAUAUCUCAUAUCACAAUGGGUACCCGCGCUUACUAGGGGUAUACAGACUCCGGGAGGGGCCCCUUACGGCCCAAGCGUAAUAUCAAUCCAUCUCGUGGCAUAAUCAAUAUGCUCUCGGCCUCAUAUCAAGCCACCUCAUGGCGUACAACUCAGGCCCUCGGCCUCAUAAUCAUAAAUCAAUAUGUCAUUGCUGCUGCGUGUAGCCCGACCCAAAAGUAUCCUCACAACACAGGCCCUCGGACUUACUCAGUCAUAAUCUCAUAAGCCACUCGGGCAACAGUAAAACAUGAUGCUCAGCCCAAAAUAUCAUUUGAAACAUCAUUUAAUGUAUUAAAACAGAGUAAACAUGACUGAGUUAUGAAAACAGUAGAAUAAAGCAUGACUGAGUACAAAUAUAAAGUCAAAACAAUGAGGAAUAGUAGUAAAGAUCCCUAAGGGUUCCAAAACAGUUGGCACGAGGCCCAAAUAUGGCAUUCAGCCCAAGACAUGAUGAUAACAAACAAUUUUUAAUCAAAUAUUCAGUAAAACAGUCAUUCGGGACGGACUAAGUCACAAUCUCCAACAUAGCACAACGAUGUGUAAUCCGGGGUUUCAUACCUUCAAGACAACAUUUACAAUCAUUACUCAACUCGAUUCGGUCUAAACUCUAGCCCGCGAUGCCUUUGCCCCUCGAAUCGACCUCAACUCGCGUCGAAUCUAACCAAAAUCAGAAUCACGACGUCAAAAUAUGCUAAGGGAACGAAGCCCUAUGCGAAAAUAAUCAAUUUACAACAUAAAUCCCGAAUUUAACCAAAACCCGACCCCCGGGUCCAUGUCUCGGAAUUCGAAAAAUUUACAUAAACAGAUUCCUCAUCUCCCCACGAGUUCAUACAUAUUAAAAGCCCCAAAAUCCGACCACAAAUGGACUCUCAAAUCCCCAAGUCAAGGUCACCAAUACCAAGCCCUAGUUUUCCAAAUUUUUAACCUUUAAUUUCCAUAAUUGCAAGCCUAAUCCGUGAAAUACUGCCAUAAAAUCGAUUAUUAGGUUCAAAAAUCUUACCUCCAGACAUUAUCCCUUGAAUCCCUCUUCAAAAUCUCCCAAAAAGCUUCAAAACCGACUUGAAAUGGUGGAGAACAACUCAAAAAUCACGAAGGAAUUGUUUUAUACCUUCUGGCCCAGGCUUUUCGCACCUGCGACCCAAAUCCCGCUCCUGCGGUCCCGCUUCUGCGGCCUAAUCAACCGCAUCUGUGGUUUUCACUUAAAUGGCCAUUUCCGCAUCUGCGGUUAGAAACCUCGCACAUGCGCUACCGCAGGUGCACCCCACUUUACCGCUUCUGCGGUUCCUGAUGCCCUUCUUCUUGGCCGCAUCUGCGGCUGCCUUCCGCUUCUGCGAGCAUCACACAUGCGGCGUCCCAACCGCAGGUGCGGUUAUGACAGUAACAAAAUGCUUCAGCUAUCCCAACUCAACUUCAAACCUUCCGCCAACCAUCCGAAAUCACCCCGAGGCCCCCGGGACCUCAACCAAAAGCAUAAACCAGUCAUAUACCACUACCCAAACUUAUACCAAUCUUCGAAACACCUCAAACAACAUCGAAUGCAUUAAAACACUUCGAGUUCAAGUCUAAGGUUCCAAAAUCUUUCGAAUUCCGCUUUUGAUCAAAAAAUCUACUAAACCACGUCCGAAUGACUUGAAAUCUUGCAUACACAUCCCAAAUGACACAACGGACCUUCUGCAACUCCCGGAAUUCCAUUCCGACCACUAUAUCAAAAUCUCACCUAUCAACACGAAAACGUCAAAAUUCCAAUUUCGCCAAUUCAAGCCUAAACCUUCCACGGACCUCCAAAAUAAAUUCCGAUCACGCUCCAAAGUUCCAAAUCGCCUAACGGAGCAAACCAAAUCAUAAAAAUUCCAAUCCGAGGUUAUCUACGAACAAGUCAAAUCUUGGUCAAACCUUUCAAAAUUUUAAGCUUCAAAUUGAGGACUGUUCUUCCAAAUUCAUUCCGAUUAUCCUGAAAUCCAAAACCGAUGAUUUACAUAAGUUAAUAUAUCACACGGGGCUAGUCAUGCCCGAGAACUGGCGAGCGGAGUGCAAAAACUCAAAAUGAUCGAUCGGGUCGUUACAACCUUAUUAUUCAUCCACCAAUUGGCAGAAAAUACAUGUAUAGGCCUUAGUAGUUGGAAAUCGAAACAAGACUUCGAUAUUAUAGUAGACUCUCUUUUACAGAGUUUUUUUAAUUAGAACAAAAAAUCUAAUGAGAAGAACAGUGAAAAUAAACUCACAUAUGUUGAUUUAGUAUUAAUUAAUUGGCCAGUAGGUUUAGAAACAAAUAAAAAAAACAGCAAUACGAAGGGAGAGACAUAAGAAACAAUUUUAUCUUUGAGCCUCUCUUGUUAUUAUUCAAUGUAUUUUUCCCAAGUUUGAAUUAGUUGGAAUUUAUUACAAUCACAUUACACGACACAAGUGAUUGGUAAUUGGUAUAAGGUUCUAAAUCUUCAUUUUGCUUGAGGUUGUAUACAUUUUUCUUAAAUUUUAUUAUUCUUGGCUUACUCUUUUUUUAUAAUCCUGACAUUUGGAUCAAUUUGUGUGUAUCUUAAUUAAUUGGAAAAAAUUAAAAAAUAGCCAGAUUUACAAGUUGUCAUUCAAAAAUAGUCAUAGUUUCAAAAGUAAUCAAAAUUUAGCCAUUUUUCAUGUAAAGAUAAAUCUAAACGAAAACAAUGUUCAAAAUCCGGGAAAAUACUCCAGUAUAAUAUGUCACACCUCCUUUUUACUACCCCCGGAAGGGGAUAUAAGGGAGUUUUUCUCAAUUUAAGUGACAAUCGAAACAGAAUUAUUUAUAUUAAAAUCAGAGUUGCCACUUGGGAUAGUUUAUUGGUGUCCCAAGUCACCGGUUUAAAAUCUCAAAUCGAGGAAAGUUUGACUCUAAUUAUGGUCUGCGGACACAGAAAUUUAGGUAAGGAAUUCUGUUAACCCAGGAGAAGGUGUUAGGCAUUCCCGGGUUCCGUGGUUUUAACACAGUUGCUUAACUAUUAAUAUUGGCCCAAUUAUCUGAUGUAAUUACACAUUUUAAACCUAUGUGCACUUUUUAACUUUCUAACCGCUUUUAAUAUUUUUAGGAAAAUUCAAGGUUAUUUAAAACACAUCGUAAGCCACGCUACAUGAAAUGCACCCGCGGUUCACGACAGGUUUUAUUUAACAUUGUUGAAAAUUGGAGCCAGGUCACAUGAAAUGUACACCCGGAUUUUAGCAAUCACAAAUCACAACUACGUCACGAGAACCGUACCCAUAGUCACGACGAUUAUUUACACGUCGAAAGCAAAGCUGCAAAUGUUUAUGAAUACUGCUGACCUAAGCAUGCUCUUAAUGGGUUGUAACACGAAAUAUAAUAAUGAAUCAAAGUGAUUUGAGUAAACUUUAACUCUGAUAAUGACGAUUAAAGAGAAAUAUGAAACCCCUGAAGCUCAAACAUAUUAACUCUAAAUUCUACAAAAUAAUCUACGAGACUUACGAGGCAAACACAAUUAAUGUCUAUUAUAUAUAUGGCUAAACUAAUAUUUUAUACCCUAAUACCAAUUCACACCAAACUAUUGAUAAUGAAACCUUUAACAUCUUAAUUAAAGAGUAUAACAUGGAAUUUAAAGACUUCCUAUCCAUUAAGCUAACAAAAACUCAAUAUGAGCUGACAACAUACAUGAAAUAAAAUAGCAAAUACUAACAUAUCCGCAAAUCAAAACGAUAAAAGCAUUAAUCCAAACAGUUCAUAAAACAGAGAGUAACAAAUUGACAGAAGUACACUAUUAAGCCAAACGGAAUAUGAGAAAAUGAGGAACCAAACCUCAAAAUGGAUCAGAACAUUAAUUGUGAGGUAACGUUAACGCUUUGUUUGCUCCGGCAUAGCGGUGGCUGGAGAUUGAACACUACUGCCACUGAACACUGUGAAAUCUAGCUGCCUAGCCAGCUUCUUUGCCGAUAAAUCCACUGCCACCUACGGUUGCACCAUUGUAGCUGCAGCAACGGAAAUAGCCACCUCCGAUUGAACCUUGUUAGGAGGAAAUGAAAUCCCCUCUAUGACUAUUCUCCAUUCAAACACAAUAAAAUCUCACUAAACACCCCAAAAUUAAAAAAAAUAAAUCUCAUAAAUUCACUGAUUACCCAUUGCUAAUACCACGAUAAUUCCACAACAUUCAACCAAUAUAACGAGAAACUGCUCUUGAGUAUUACAUAAGCCGAACAAGACGCCUUUUCAAUUUUCAAACCUAUUUCUAAUUUGAAUUCGGAUGAUGAACCGUUACUUCUAUUACACAGAAAUUACUACUACUAACAACCAAAGACAGACAAAUACAAAUAGCAGCGAAAUCGGUAACUGUUGCUCAUUCAAACAUAAAAAACGACCAGCGAACAACCAGAUUUAAGGAAAUGAAAAUCUCUCGAGAAAUGAACGAAAAAAUCUGAUGAGGAUUGUCUUUUUGUUCAAAAUGGCGGAUUGGUUUUUUAAAGUCUAGGGAUCUAAGUUUGUUUUUUGUCACCUCCGAAUCGAAACGGUUGAUUCUGUUUUUGCCUUAUUCUUGUAUUAUGCCUGAAGAAGAUGAAGGUGUGUGUGAUUUUCAAGAUCAGAAACGACACCUUCUCUGUAGUCUUUUUAUUCGUUAGGUUCAUUUUCUU
rnacentral:lncRNA from 1 species